rnacentral:rRNA from 1 species
GACGAACCGUGCGAACGUUAUUCGGAAUCACUGGGCUUAAAGGGCGCGCAGGCGGUCGUUCAAGUCGCGUGUGAAAGCCCCCGGCUCAACUGGGGAGGGUCACGCGAUACUGAUCGACUCGAAGGCAGGAGAGGGUAGUGGAAUUCCCGGUGUAGUGGUGAAAUGCGUAGAUAUCGGGAGGAACACCAGUGGCGAAGGCGACUACCUGGCCUGUUCUUGACGCUGAGGCGCGAAAGCUAGGGGAGCAAACGGG